rnacentral:rRNA from 1 species
AUUGAACGCUGGCGGCAGGCCUAACACAUGCAAGUCGAACGGUAGCACAGAGAGCUUGCUCUCGGGUGACGAGUGGCGGACGGGUGAGUAAUGUCUGGGAAACUGCCCGAUGGAGGGGGAUAACUACUGGAAACGGUAGCUAAUACCGCAUAACGUCGCAAGACCAAAGUGGGGGACCUUCGGGCCUCACACCAUCGGAUGUGCCCAGAUGGGAUUAGCUAGUAGGUGGGGUAAUGGCUCACCUAGGCGACGAUCCCUAGCUGGUCUGAGAGGAUGACCAGCCACACUGGAACUGAGACACGGUCCAGACUCCUACGGGAGGCAGCAGUGGGGAAUAUUGCACAAUGGGCGCAAGCCUGAUGCAGCCAUGUCGCGUGUAUGAAGAAGGCCUUCGGGUUGUAAAGUACUUUCAGCGGGGAGGAAGGCGGUGAAGUUAAUAGCUUCACCGAUUGACGUUACCCGCAGAAGAAGCACCGGCUAACUCCGUGCCAGCAGCCGCCGUAA